rfam:Curtobacterium flaccumfaciens TCD-AKT genomic scaffold scaffold1.6, whole genome shotgun sequence.
GGGCACACCGCUUCACUCGGAUCGUCCGGCACGUACCUGCCGGUGAAGGAAGGACCGA